GACGGAGGAUGCAAGUGUUAUCCGGAAUCACUGGGCGUAAAGCGUCUGUAGGCGGUUUAAUAAGUCAACUGUUAAAUCUUGAGGCUCAACCUCAAAAUCGCAGUCGAAACUAUUAGGCUAGAGUAUAGUAGGGGUAAAGGGAAUUUCCAGUGGAGCGGUGAAAUGCGUAGAGAUUGGAAAGAACACCGAUGGCGAAGGCAGCCCCCUGGGUCAAGAUUGACGCUGAUGCACGAAAGCGUGGGGAGCAAACAGG
rnacentral:rRNA from 1 species